AACGAACGCUGGCGGCAGGCUUAACACAUGCAAGUCGAACGCCCCGCCAGGGGAGUGGCAGACGGGUGAGUAACGCGUGGGAACAUACCCUUUUCUACGGAAUAGCUCUGGGAAACUGGAAUUAAUACCGUAUACGCCCUACGGGGGAAAGAUUUAUCGGGGAAGGAUUGGCCCGCGUUGGAUUAGCUAGUUGGUGGGGUAAAGGCCUACCAAGGCGACGAUCCAUAGCUGGUCUGAGAGGAUGAUCAGCCACAUUGGGACUGAGACACGGCCCAAACUCCUACGGGAAGCAGCAGUGGGGAAUAUUGGACAAUGGGCGCAAGCCUGAUCCAGCCAUGCCGCGUGAGUGAUGAAGGCCUUAGGGUUGUAAAGCUCUUUCACCGAUGAAGAUAAUGACGGUAGUCGGAGAAGAAGCCCCGGCUAACUUCGUG
rnacentral:rRNA from 1 species